rnacentral:rRNA from 1 species
GUGCCAGCCGCCGCGGUAAUACGAAGGGUGCAAGCGUUACUCGGAAUUACUGGGCGUAAAGCGUGCGUAGGUGGUCGUUUAAGUCCGUUGUGAAAGCCCUGGGCUCAACCUGGGAACUGCAGUGGAUACUGGGCGACUAGAGUGUGGUAGAGGGUAGCGGAAUUCCUGGUGUAGCAGUGAAAUGCGUAGAGAUCAGGAGGAACAUCCAUGGCGAAGGCAGCUACCUGGACCAACACUGACACUGAGGCACGAAAGCGUGGGGAGCAAACAGGAUUAGAUACCCCGGUAGUCC